GGCUGCAGUGGGGAAUCUUGCACAAUGGGGGAAACCCUGAUGCAGCGACGCCGCGUGAGCGAUGAAGCCCUUCGGGGUGUAAAGCUCUUUCGGCAGGGAAGAUGAUGACGGUACCUGCAGAAGCAGCUGCGGCUAACUACGUGCCAGCAGCCGCGGUAAUACGUAGGCAGCGAGCGUUGUUCGGAGUUACUGGGCGUAAAGGGUGUGUAGGCGGUUGUUUAAGUUUGGUGUGAAAUCUCCCGGCUCAACUGGGAGGGUGCGCCGAAUACUGAAUGACUAGAGUGCGGGAGAGGAAAGUGGAAUUCCUGGUGUAGCGGUGAAAUGCGUAGAUAUCAGGAGGAACACCGGUGGUGUAGACGGCUUUCUGGACCGUAACUGACGCUGAGACACGAAAGCGUGGGUAGCAAACAGGAUUAGAUACCCUAGUAGUCCAC
rnacentral:rRNA from 1 species